rnacentral:tRNA from 1 species
CAGGAUUGUUGAGCUCCAUUGGCGGGAUUUCGCCGUCUACGUUUCUCUUUCUUCGCGGACGAACACGCGCCAGGGGCUGAGCGCUGUGCGAUGCAUCGACUUCACGUCGGGUGCGCGCCGGCAUGUCUCUCGUGUUAGGGGCUUGUAGCUCAGUUGGUUAGAGCGCGCGCUUGAUAAGCGUGAGGUCGGAAGUUCAAGUCUUCCCAGGCCCACCAUUUUGAUCGAGUGCGGAGCAUUCGUCUUCUGGUACGGGGCCAUAGCUCAGCUGGGAGAGCGCGUGCUUUGCAAGCAUGAGGUCGUCGGUUCGAUCCCGUCUGGCUCCACCAGAUGGAAUUGAAACUCGAUGCUGACUCGUUCAAAUCGUCCGCGAAACAUCACUUCGCACUCAUUGGUCCGGAUGGACGGUGACGUGCGUGUUUUCUGACAUCGUAAAGAGGAGAUCGAUCCGAGUUGGAUCGUGCGGAGAAUAUCCGCGCGAGACUUCAUUAUCUCCGGAUCAUUUCGGCGCUCGCGCGCCUUUCAGUGUAGCUCACAAGGCUGCGCCUGAAAGACAUGUGAGUUGUGAAUGAUCCUUUUAGCGAAGCUUGGCCGCCUCGCUAUCGGAACGGUCUUACGAAGCAAGCUGGUCUUUCUAGUCAAUGUCCGGUUGCAGAUAGCGUUCAUCGAGGGCGCGUGCCGCAAGGCAAUUCUGCAGACAACAUUCUGCCGAGUGUGUGGACAUUGAUAAUGAGAGCAAUCAAGUGC